GAUGAACGCUGGCGGCGUGCCUAAUACAUGCGAGUCGAGCGAACAGACGAGGAGCUUGCUCCUCUGACGUUAGCGGCGGACGGGUGAGUAACACGUGGAUAACCUACCUAUAAGACUGGGAUAACUUCGGGAAACCGGAGCUAAUACCGGAUAAUAUAUUGAACCGCAUGGUUCAAUAGUGAAAGGCGGUUUUGCUGUCACUUAUAGAUGGAUCCGCGCCGCAUUAGCUAGUUGGUAAGGUAACGGCUUACCAAGGCAACGAUGCGUAGCCGACCUGAGAGGGUGAUCGGCCACACUGGAACUGAGACACGGUCCAGACUCCUACGGGAGGCAGCAGUAGGGAAUCUUCCGCAAUGGGCGAAAGCCUGACGGAGCAACGCCGCGUGAGUGAUGAAGGUCUUCGGAUCGUAAAACUCUGUUAUUAGGGAAGAACAAAUGUGUAAGUAACUAUGCACGUCUUGACGGUACCUAAUCAGAAAGCCACGGCUAACUACGUG
rnacentral:rRNA from 1 species